rnacentral:rRNA from 1 species
GGCGGCGCGUUUAAGGCAUGCAAGUCGAACGGUAAGGCCCCUUCGGGGGUACACGAGUGGCAAACGGGUGAGUAACACGUGGGUAAUCAACCCUAGAGUGAGGAAUAACUCUAAGAAAUUAGAGCUAAUACCGCAUGAUACCAAGAUUACAUAAGUUAUCUUGGUCAAAGGCUUCGGCCGCUCUGGGACGAGCCCGCGCCCUAUUAGUUAGUUGGUGAGGUAAUGGCUCACCAAGGCAGCGAUGGGUAGCCGGCUUGAGAGAGUGAUCGGCCACAUUGGAACUGCGACACGGUCCAGACUCCUACGGGAGGCAGCAGCUAAGAAUCUUAGGCAAUGGGCGAAAGCCUGACCUAGCGACGCCGCGUGGACGAAGAAGGCCCUUUGGGUUGUAAAGUCCUUUUCUACAGGAAGAAUGUCUGUGUAAAAUCAGGCUGACGGUACUGUAGGAAUAAGCCCCGGCUAAUUACGUGCCAGCAGCCGCGGCAAUACGUAAGGGGCGAGCGUUGUUCGGAAUUAUUGGGCGUAAAGGGUGCGUAGGCGGAUUAGUAAGUUGGAUGUGCAAGCCCGGAGCUCAACUUCGGAAUUGCGUCCAAAACUACUUUUCUUGAGUUCAGAAGAGGGAAGCGGAAUUCCUGGUGUAGGAGUGAAAUCUUUAGAAAUCAGGAAGAACACCGGCGGCGAAGGCGGCUUCCUGGUCUGAAACUGACGCUGAUGCACGAAAGCCAGGGGAGCAAACGGGAUUAGAUACCCCGGUAGUCCUGGCUGUAAACGUUGUAUACUAGGUGUAUGAGGCAUCGAUCCCUUAUGUGCCAAAGCAAACGCAUUAAGUAUACCGCCUGGAGAGUAUGCCCGCAAGGGUGAAAUUCAAAGGAAUUGACGGGGGCCCGCACAAGCGGUGGAGCAUGUGGUUCAAUUCGAUGAUACGCGAGAAACCUUACCAGGGUUUGACAUGCACUGGACCCCCUGAGAGAUCAGGGUUCCUUUCGGGGUUAGUGCACAGGUGCUGCAUGGCUGUCGUCAGCUCGUGUCGUGAGAUGUUGGGUUAAGUCCCGCAACGAGCGCAACCCCUAUUCUCUGUUGCCAGCGAGUUCGUCGGGAACUCAGAGGAUACUGCCGUCGAAAGGCGGAGGAAGGUGGGGAUGAGGUCAAGUCAUCAUGGCCCUUAUGUCCUGGGCUACACACGUGCUACAAUGGACGGUACAAAGGGUUGCUAAAUCGCGAGGUGGAGCUAAUCCCAAAAAACCGUUCUCAGUUCGGAUUGAAGUCUGAAACCCGACUUCAUGAAGGUGGAAUCGCUAGUAAUCGUAUAUCAGCACGAUACGGUGAAUACGUUCCCGGGCCUUGUACACACCGCCCGUCACAUCACCCGAGUUGGAUGUACCCGAAGUCGCUGUGCUAACCGUAAGGAGGCAGGCGCCGAAGGUA